ensembl:snoRNA SNORA72 Small nucleolar RNA SNORA72
UUGCGAAUAUUCUCGCUGUUCUGAUUUCGUAAUAAUCAGGGCAGGCUAAACAUUCGCUAUAUUAAGAACCAUGCAUGUGUCCCCAGACCUAGUUCUUUUCCUAGGUCUGGUUUUAUAAAUGCUGGUGAUAGAC